CUGACGCACUGCUGUCGUUGAAGCUACGAGGUUGUGUAGAUAGGUCGUCCUGGUAUAUUUUUUUGUAAGAUAAUAUAAAUCUAUUUUUCUGACAAGUGUUAUCUCCACAAGCUUGAAAUGUGCAUUGAAACGAUGGAUGUGAGCAGCGCUAAACACAUGGAUGCUCUUCGGCUAACUUUGAAUACAACAACAACCAAGCUCCGCUGGACGCAGCUGCGCAUGGCCGCCGAGGAGGACGAGACCUUCGGAUCGUGUCGAGGCACCGCGCCGAAGCAGAACACCAGGAAGCGCCAACGACGGGACGGGCGACGGGCAGUGAGAUUCAUCGGCGUCCCUUACAGCGUGGAACAACGGGAGGACAGACGAGCAGCGGCCUGUACGCGACGACUUCAUCCCGGAGCAAUGGCGCCGGAGAACACCACGCAGUACUUGAUAAGCGAGCACGAAGACAACAUGGCGCCGAGUAGCAAUGACUCCCAGAAACCAACCGCCUCGCUCGAGGGACUUUGAGGACAUGUUUGGCCCAUGUUGGUAACCCGGAUGUCGGGGAAUGACGUGGCCUCGCACUCCUUCAAGGCGGAGGAACUUUUUUCCUGCGGGAAAAGUGGCGCACUGGACGCCGCCCCGCCCAGUCAGGGAGCGCUCCCAAGCCUCCCGCCGCGCUGGCCCGACGAGCGGACCAAACGCACCUCAGCUGUGGUCUGGCCACUGGUUGCAAAGUCAGGUAACACUGGGCAGGUAUUUGUUGCACUGCUUUGUCCUUCAUGGUUCCAUGCGACCUCUGUCACUGUCUGAGAGUUUUCCAGGUCAACCCUGUCGCGACUAAAGGCUCUGCUGCGGGAGACCCUGGAGCUCGGUCUUCCCAGGACUGAUGAAAGGUGACCUUUUAACAUAAGACUUGCAGUCUUUUUAAAAAGACCCAUUAUACACGCGUCUUGUACCUUGGCUCCAUUUUGGUUUGUUUAUAUUGUAUUCAAAUUUGGUUUGGAUAGAUGUGGACCGUGUUGAUUUUUAUAAAUGAAUGUACAAAUAAAGGCGCUUGAUGUAUACUAAA